UGGGGAAUAUUGGACAAUGGGCGAAAGCCUGAUCCAGCCAUGCCGCGUGAGUGAUGAAGGCCCUAGGGUUGUAAAGCUCUUUUGUGCGGGAAGAUAAUGACGGUACCGCAAGAAUAAGCCCCGGCUAACUUCGUGCCAGCAGCCGCGGUAAUACGAAGGGGGCUAGCGUUGCUCGGAAUCACUGGGAGUAAAGGGUGCGUAGGCGGGUUUCUAAGUCAGAGGUGAAAGCCUGGAGCUCAACUCCAGAACUGCCUUUGAUACUGGAAGUCUUGAGUUCGGGAGAGGUGAGUGGAACUGCGAGUGUAGAGGUGAAAGGCGUAGAUAUUCGAAAGAAAACCAGUGGCGAAGGCGGCUAACUGACCCGAUACUGACGCUGAGGCACGAAAACGUGGGGAGCAAACA
rnacentral:rRNA from 1 species